rnacentral:lncRNA from 1 species
GUUUUCUUACUUAAAGUUGUUUAGAGAACCAAUAACAAGUUUUAUAGUACGAACUCGGUCCCUUGGAAAAUGCAACAUCUCUUUCUGCAUUGGAUCCAUCAUCAUCCUAUCCGCAUCAACUCAUUGACUCUGGUGUGUUUAUACAUCAUUUCAGUACGUGCAAGAGAAAAGAAUUAAAGUCUGUGAUCAUUGCCUCAAUUCUCC